rnacentral:rRNA from 1 species
GACGAACGCUGGCGGCGUGCUUAACACAUGCAAGUCGAACGAAAGGCCCUGCUUUUGUGGGGUGCUCGAGUGGCGAACGGGUGAGUAACACGUGAGUAACCUGCCCUUGACUUUGGGAUAACUUCAGGAAACUGGGGCUAAUACCGGAUAGGAGCUCCUGCUGCAUGGUGGGGGUUGGAAAGUUUCGGCGGUUGGGGAUGGACUCGCGGCUUAUCAGCUUGUUGGUGGGGUAGUGGCUUACCAAGGCUUUGACGGGUAGCCGGCCUGAGAGGGUGACCGGCCACAUUGGGACUGAGAUACGGCCCAGACUCCUACGGGAGGCAGCAGUGGGGAAUAUUGCACAAUGGGCGGAAGCCUGAUGCAGCAACGCCGCGUGCGGGAUGACGGCCUUCGGGUUGUAAACCGCUUUCGCCUGUGACGAAGCGUGAGUGACGGUAAUGGGUAAAGAAGCACCGGCUAACUACGUG